rnacentral:rRNA from 1 species
UGCAACUCGCCUGCAUGAAGCCGGAAUCGCUAGUAAUCGCGGAUCAGCAUGCCGCGGUGAAUACGUUCCCGGGCCUUGUACACACCGCCCGUCACACCACGAGAGCUUGCAACACCCGAAGUCGGUGAGGCAACCCGCAAGGGAGCCAGCCGCCGAAGGUGGGGCAAGUGAUUGGGGUGAAGUCGUAACAAGGUAGCCGUACCGGAAGGUGCGGCUGGAUCACCUCCUUUCUAAGGAGA